CGCGAUUCGACUGAGGCCAUUUUGAAUUUUCCAUUCAGUGGUGAUGCCAUUUUUCUCCAUCGCUAUCAACCCAAAGGGUGCUGAAAAGGAGUUUGACAUCAGCAUUGAGCUCAUUUGUGACUCACACGCUUAUCCUUCGUAAAUCUUCUCCGUCAGAGGCCAGCGGCACCGAAAAAGCUCUCAUUUUGACUGGGGCACUACUGAACUGUUAUCAUGUGAGGAACAAGGGACAAGACUAAAAUCUUCUCCAUCAGAGACCAACUGCACCGAAAAAGG